AACUUGGGUCUCACGCAACAGGAGCUUAUGAACCGUGUCAGGUCUUGACGGAAGCAGCACUAAGUAAGAUAUUCUGUGUGCCGUGAGGGUGCCUGGGUGGAGC
rnacentral:SRP_RNA from 2 species